ensembl:lncRNA
GCCGCGGGGUGGCCGAGGCUCACCCCCGCGCAACGGAACUGUUGGUGCGCUCCGACGGCGCGGAAGCCUCCGCCGAGCGCCGCCUUCUGACAGGCCUUUUUCUGGGGAUGCAGAAUGCCCAUGCCCUGGAUUCUUUGGUGGAGUUUUACUAACCACAGGAGUUGCUACCACCUCUCUGGGCAGCCUUUUCCAGAGCUUCGUCACUCCAACAAGCUCCACAGGGCUAUGUGAAGAAGGCUUCCAAAGGAGAGAUCACGUCUAGAACCCUCCUGUAGAUGGAUCACAGGCUGUUGGGCAUGUUGAAAAUGCUGUUGCGUUGGCAGACAAGCUUUGGCAAGCUGCUUCAUAGAGGCUGAAAGGAGGUUUUGCUUCCAGCUCCACUCCUCUGCUGGAAUUACUGUCUGCACAGUAAUGGGGGAAUGCAGACCUUUGACUUAGCAGCUCUGGUGCAAAGGGUAAAACAUUCACCUUUGCUAAAGGUUAAAACUGAAAUGCUUUUCUGGAAGCAUAGGUGAAUUUGCACUAAAACAUCAAACUGAGUAGAAGAAAGAGAAGCACUUGAUUCCUCCUGCUGCUCUGGUGGUUGGGAAGAUGGGAUGGAAAAGGUGAGCGGCCUUCCAUGAGGUGCAGCACAGAAGGGUGAGAAUGGCAGCAUUUGAAAUUGACUCAAUGUAACUACUGGUGCUGGUAUGAGUGACUGGCAAAUGACCAUAGUGAUUUAUGUGGAUUAUUAAGUGUCGAUAAAGAUAUUAUGUCGAUAAAGAUAUUAAUAUUAAGUGUUGAUAAAGAUACAUGAAAAUUGCACAGAAUGUGGAGCACAGGUUUGUAACUUCGAUCACCAAUUACCAAAUAAUUCCAGAGACUUACCUGUGAACUGACACUAUUAAGAUCUUCUUUAAGGUAUGUCUAAAUGGAGAAAUUCCACCAAUGUGGUGAUGGAAGAAUUAAAUUUGUGAUUCUUGCUAGACUUAUCAAGUUCCAAAUCUAAAAGUGCUCCAAAACAUUCUGGUGCCACUGCAAAAAUUAAGCUUGAGCCUAAGCCAAUGCAAAGGAAUCUUCCUGACUCUGUACAUUGGCUUGACUAUAGAAAGGGCAAAUGGCCCAAUUGUAAAAUUCCUGGCUACACCCAGAGUUGUUAAACUUCAGUAAAAAUAUAUAACAUUUUGUGGAAUUUUUAUAUUCCCACUGUUUGGUAAGGUCUAAAUAAAGCCUUUGAAGCUUCAUUUACUCAUUUUAAAUGCAGGUGUUCAAACUGGAACACAUACAUUCACCAAAACAAGGCACAGCACAAAUAGUAAAGAAGGCGAUGUGGUGGAAGACGGCAUACAUCAGUAGGAAAACAGUUAACCAAGAUUUAGUUCAUACAUAUUUAAUUGAACAUGUAUUUAAGCCAAGUAUUCUUUCCCAUAUCUUUGCAUACAUACUUCUAUGUCUCUUUCUGUAUAGCGAACUUUUCAGUCCUCUCGUUUCCCCAUGUUUUUAUACACUCAUGAUUUUUUUUUUGUACUGCUUAGACCUGACCUCUCUUAUUUUUUCCCUGACUGUAUUCACAUCUGGCUUUUAUCAUUUUGUUUGUCUGGCUAACUGCAAAGCAAUACCCUCCAAUCUUGCUAGUCUAUCAGCAGUGUGAAAAUACCACGAAAUGUAAACCACCAGCAAAUGUGUGAACUACCAGAAAGCUGCUAUUUGCAGAGUGGUGAAUUACAGAGAGCGUAAGAAAAGCAGCAAAAAUGUUUUGUUGUUAACACUGUCACUUCUUCCCCUUCCCCCCCCCCCCCUUUUUUCUUUUUUGCCAUGGAUUUUGUAAUGGGUAAGAUUUACUUAAAAAUAACAAUGAAUUGCAUGAACACCUUGAAAUUAACAGUAGUUAAAUAUUGACAUUAAUUUCAAUAUUUUAAAAAUCAGGUUUUGCAGAAUAUAUCUUUGUAUAUUGUUCCUGAUAUUUGGCAGACUGCUCUUGGCAAAUGCUCCUGUAGUGCCUCAGUCACAUCAACGCACAGAUUGCUGUGUUGCCAUAAAACUAAUUUCAUUUGCAAUUUCCACAUGGGGAGAGGAAAUUGCAAUUAAGUGACUGAGGCAUGAAUGUGUUUCGUUCUGCUGCAUCUGCGGUCAGGAUGAUUGUCUGUAUCGAAGUGAUGGUACAGACACGUGGGUCAGUGUCAUUUGAAAUUUCUUCACCAAGAUUCAGCAAGUCUGUUAAUCCAUGUUUAAAAAUAUGACUAUAAAAUAACAUUAAUAUAUUAUAUUUAAUACUUAUUAUCUCUCUUCUGCUGCUCAGAGGGCUAACUGGCAUUAGUCAGGGGAUGGUGAGCAAUUUCUCGUGCAUCACUUGUUAUACACAUUCAUAUAUAUAUAUAUAUAUAUGUCUUUGUCAUAACUAUUAUCCUUUUCCUUUUCUCUAUCUUAGUAAAUAGUUCUAUCUCAACCUGCGAGUUCUACUUCAUUUUUUUCAGUUCUCUCCCCAUCCCACUGGGAAGUGGGGGGAGUGAGCAAAAAACUGUGUGGUGCUGAGCUGCUGCUGGGUUAAAACAUAGCACUCAUGACUGUGCUUCACAAGAUCUGUCAUAAACAGGUUCUGGGUUAAAGGAAAUGGCAUAGCUUGUAGCAGCAGCAACGUAAAACCCAGAUCUUAUCCUCAGUGAAUCUGUAAAAUAUUUUGCUGCUGACUUCACUGAGGUCAGAAGUAGACUAUCAAUUUGGUAAACUUGUUUUUAACCAUCAGUCUAGAUUUUCAUCAUUAAAAACAGGGGAAGAUGUGAGCUUGGAGGGUCUACUCCAAACUAGAAAUGUAUCCCUACGACAUCCAAAACUUCAUUCCCAAAUAUUAACGGCCAAUGAAAAGAACAAAUAAAUUCACUACAAAAUAAUAAUUAUUUCAGUCCCUUUGAUUUCAUAAGCUGAAUGCUUUUAUUAGAUAGUAUAUUUGAGUAAUGCUUGAGGAAUUGUUCCAGUAGUAAAAGGAAACACAUAUUCUUCCCUAGUUACAGCUGCAAUGUUGAUAUAAGGCUUUUAACCAACGGUCAGGACAAUGUGUGAAAGUGUCAUGGUAUAAAACAUAACAAGCUGCUGCUUCUCAUUUCUUAGCUAUGUCUGAGUGAAAUGAAAGUUCAUUGGAGAACUUGUGAAUAAACUAUAGGGAAAUAUGAACCUGUAUAGGAGCUUAGAAAUGCUGCACAGAGAUUAUGACAUUGCAAAGUGCUUUUGAGUUUGUUAACGCUACACAGUAAAGCCAAA